UACGUAGGGACCAAGCGUUGUUCGGAUUUACUGGGCGUAAAGGGCGCGUAGGCGGCAAUUCAAGUCAGUUGUGAAAUCUCCGAGCUUAACUCGGAACGGUCAACUGAUACUGCUUUGCUAGAGUACAGAAGGGGCAAUCGGAAUUCUUGGUGUAGCGGUGAAAUGCGUAGAUAUCAGGAGGAACACCGGUGGUGUAGACGGCUCACUGGACCGUAACUGACGCUGAGACACGAAAGCGUGGGGAGCAAACAGG
rnacentral:rRNA from 1 species